AGUCUGGCCCUCACCCACAAAGAAAGCAACAGUCUCGGGCCCUCAGAGACCCCACCCCACCCACAUCUACCUACACCCACCCAGGACUCUAGCUGGGGCCUCGGGGCAGAAGUUCUUCCUAGGGUGUCACCUCCAGACACACUGCUGCGGCGGGAGGAUGCGUUUCUAAUAAUUUUGGCCAGAAACAAGAGGAGUCCUGUCCGAGGAGAGCCCGGCUGGCUGACUGGAAUCCCAAGACAUGCCAAGGUCCCUGGGAAAUGACAGGACACCCAGAUCUGCUGGGAGCAGAGUUCUCAUAGGGUCCCAGCUGAGCCCUGGAACUCCCCAGACCCCCUCUGCCACUCCAUCUCUGCGUCAGCCCAGCACCUGUGCCCUAUCCGGCUUUGGCCACCAUCUCCACCCUGGGGAGGGGGAGCAUAACCCCCUCCAGCCUGAGGUUGGCGCCAAGGUUUAGGAGCCAGCACAGAAGCCUCUGAGAGCCAUAAGGGUAGAAAAGGUUACCCGGUACUAAACCAGCCAGCCUCGGGGUGAUCUCAUCCACUUCCCAAGAUAAGCCCCCUCCCCCACCCUCUGGCCACUGGCCAACAGGGUAAGUCACGAGGGAGCUGGUGGAAGAGUGUGUGUGAGGGCUGGGGGAAGGAUUUCAACUUGGGGUCACACUGUACAUUCUGUUUUGUGAUCAAUUCCCCCCAACAUUUACAGUAUUGACAAUUAGCAGUUUCCUGUCAGAUAAACUAUAAAGAUCUUCCCCCAUCACUUUUUCUUUUCCUAAUUAUUUCUAAAGUCUGCCAGGAUGGACACAUCAGAAUCUCUUUGUCCAGCCCUUGAGGAGGACAUGUAAACAGUGUCCAGUUUCUCUUUCUUACAAACACCAGUGCCAUAACCAUUUUUGUUCAAAUCCUCUUACGCAAUUGCCUCUCUCUCUCUCUCCCUUUCUCUCUUUCUCUCUCCCUCUCUCUAUUUCUCACUCAGUUGAGAUAAAUUCUGCCUGGUAGCAGGUGGGAGGGCAGGCCUCACUGUGUGCCUGAGUAGUUCUGGGCCCUUCCCCAAG